GGUAAAAUGGCUGAAGUUUAGGCGGUAAAUUGUAAAUUUAUUUAUGGAUUUUCAUCCUUUUACUA
rnacentral:tRNA from 1 species